UUGAACGCUGGCGGCAUGCCUUACACCUGCCAGUCGCACGGCAGCACGGGUGCUUGCACCUGGUGGCGAGUGGCGAACGGGUGAGUAAUACAUCGGAACAUGUCCUGUAGUGGGGGAUAGCCCGGCGAAAGCCGGAUUAAUACCGCAUACGAUCUACGGAUGAAAGCGGGGGACCUUCGGGCCUCGCGCUAUAGGGUUGGCCGAUGGCUGAUUAGCUAGUUGGUGGGGUAAAGGCCUACCAAGGCGACGAUCAGUAGCUGGUCUGAGAGGACGACCAGCCACACUGGGACUGAGACACGGCCCAGACUCCUACGGGAGGCAGCAGUGGGGAAUUUUGGACAAUGGGCGAAAGCCUGAUCCAGCAAUGCCGCGUGUGUGAAGUAGGCCUUCGGGUUGUAAAGCACUUUUGUCCGGAAAGAAAUCCUUGGCCCUAAUACGGUCGGGGGAUGACGGUACCGGAAGAAUAAGCACCGGCUAACUACGUG
rnacentral:rRNA from 1 species